UUUUACCAUUUACUGAAAAAUCUCCAUUUUUGCAUGACAUUCUCAGAACUGUAUUGUUGGCAAGUCAAUGGUAAAGUGUGAAGAACUAGACAGAAUGAUUCUUCUACAAUAUUAGUUUGAUAGUAGCUAUCCUGCCCUGAAAGCAGUGGACAUGUAAAUGAUUGGAGAUCAAUUAUUAAUAAUUAGCUAAGAAAAUCAGAGAUGGAAAGACAUGUGAAGAAGAAGGAGUAGAGAAAAGAAUCAGAAAGAAAGAAAAGAACUAGAGACAAGAAGAAGUGAUGGACUUUCCCCUUUGCAGUCAGCACAUGAAGAUGAAAUCUCAGCUUGGAUCUCAAUUUGUUGACACAAGUCAGGUGCUUACAUGGAAAGGACAGUGUGGUUCACAUCUGGAAAUAAGUUUCUCAGCACUGGAACAAAGAAAACCCUCCUAAAGCAAGGGGGUAUUGCAAGGAAUGAAAAAAGUGAGGAACUCUUCAGUAGCUGACAUAAAUAAUGUACAUUAGACAACUUCAAUGAACUUCCAAAUCAGAAGCCAACACUGGUCUGGUUCACACAACUAUUAUUGUUCCACAACUAAAAUUAUGGCAAUGGGACUUGUCUAGACAAUAAAUUUUCAGAUAAUUGUACAAACAGACCAAGGAAUCAUAGAUUUCAAAGCGACCACAAGGGUCAUCCAGUCCAACCCCCUGUCAUGCAGGAAGUCACAAUCAAAGUCUCUAGUCUCUGUUUAAAGAUCUCCAAAGAAGGAGACUCCACCACAUGCCGAGGGAGUGUGUUCUACUGUCAAACAGUUCUUACUGUCAGGAUUCAGUGUUGGUUAAUAAUAAAAAUGUAUUAUUUAAUACACAUUAUAAUGUUGGCUGACUUGGAAAGCCUUUUUGAUCCAAAG